CAACUACUCCCUCUAUCCCAAAUUUCUUGUCUUAGAUUUGUCUAGAUACGGAUGUAUCUAAUACUAAAAUGUGACUUGAUACAUCUGUAUCUAGACAAAUCUAAGACAAGAAUUUUGGGACAGAGGGAGUACUUU
rfam:Triticum aestivum genome assembly, contig: Triticum_aestivum_CS42_TGACv1_scaffold_556231_7AL